AUGAGUGUGAGUUGUAACCCAACUCGACCUCCCAUCCUUUGUUUAUACAACCAUUGUUGCUUCGGUGUGGGUUCGUCCCUACCGACAGCCUUGAACAUUCUGAAAUUGUGAAGUCUCAGUCUUUGAUAUAAUCAAAACA
rnacentral:misc_RNA from 1 species